ACUAGAUCGGCAUCGAACUAGUAUUAAAGGAGCGAAUGCUCCGCUACUGGAUGGACUCGCGGUGCAUUAGCUAGUUGGUGAGGUAGAGGCUCACCAAGGCGAUGAUGCAUAGCCGACCUGAGAGGGUGAACGGGCCACAUUGGGACUGAGACACGGCCCAGACUCCUACGGGAGGCAGCAGUAGGGAAUUUUCGUCAAUGGGGGAAACCCUGAACGAGCAAUGCCGCGUGAGUGAAGAAGGAUUUCGGUCU
rnacentral:rRNA from 1 species